rnacentral:rRNA from 1 species
AUUGAACGCUGGCGGCAGGCCUAACACAUGCAAGUCGGGCGAGUGGCGGACGGGUGAGUAAUGUCUGGGAAACUGCCUGAUGGAGGGGGAUAACUACUGGAAACGGUAGCUAAUACCGCAUACCAUCAGAUGUACCCAUAUGGGAUUAGCUUGUGGGUGGGGUAACGGCUCACCAAGGCGACGAUCCCUAGCUGGUCUGAGAGGAUGAGCAGCCACACUGGAACUGAGACACGGCCCAGACUCCUACGGGAGGCAGCAGUGGGGAAUAUUGCACAAUGGGCGCAAGCCUGAUGCAGCCAUGCCGCGUGUAUGAAGAAGGCCUUCGGGUUGUAAAGUACUUUCAGUCGGGAGGCGUUACCGACAGAAGAAGCACCGGCUAACUCCGUGCCAGCAGCCGCGGUAAUAC